CAGCCAGAAAGCCUGGCCCUGGACUGCAUGGUGCCUGGUGAGGUGCUGUAAGCAGGGUCCUGGUGUGCAGGGUGAGCUCGCAGCUUCAUCUGUCAGCAGCAGGACUGGGGUGGAACAGCUUUUCCCCAACCAUUGCAGGGAGCUGGGAAGCACCAGGCUUCCUGCUUUCCCUCUGAGCAGUUACCUCCUCUUCUCCCCUGCAGGAUGAGCCUCUCCCAGUGAAGCAAUCCAACAGUGCUGGCAGCCAACAUCCCAAGACUUGUUCAAUGCUGCUUUCUUCUCCUGCUGCAGCAGGGAGGUGGAUGGAGGCUCCAGGAGCACCCGGCUCUCUGCUUAUCUCCUCCUGCCUGGAGAGGCUGGGUUGGAAAGGUUUGAAUGGGAACGUCAGCAUUGCCUUUGGAGCAGGGACACACUGCACACAGGCACCGCCGCGUGCGAGGGCUGUGAGAGCUUAACUGCUGCAGCAGAUGGGACUUGGAAGCCACGUCGGAGCAAAUAUUUAAAGAUCCUGUUUUAUAAAGCCACUUUUUGGCCUAUAAACCAUCCGCCCUGCGGCUCCUGGUACUGUUGCUGCAGAGUCCUCUGUUUGCUGUUCCUUCUGCUCCUCCACACUACUGUCCGAGUGGGAUGGGAAGUGACUGCUAUUGACCCAAUGGGGUUCCUGGGAUCAGGCAGAUGCCAAAGCUGGCAGUGAGCCCGUCCUGGUGGAUGUCUUCCUGCUGCCCCUCACACAUCUCCAUGAGGACUAUGAGUUUGGGAUCCCACGUCCCCUUUCUCUCCACAAUACAUCAGGCUCCCAGCAAUGAUUCUGAGCUGUUUGCAUGGCAUGGAGCAGUCUCUGGUUUGUGCUUUCCUUCCUGCAUCGCCUUUCAGCCUUUGGUCCCACAGAGCCAAGCACUGAUGUGCCCACUAACAGGGGGCUCUGCUCCUGAACAAGCAAAAAGGUAAAUAGCCCCUCUGAUUGCAGCCUGGAUGCAGCAGGUUGGAUUCCUGCUCUCCUCCUCAAGGUAGUUACUUCUUGCAUCCACUGAGAGUAUGAUGAUGAUUGGGCACUGGGACUUUUUGGGGUAGACCCAAAGUAUUCUCUCUGUACUUUCAUUUCCCCUUUGUAUGAAUUCUUGCUCCACCUCUCUCUCCAAGGAGACCUGCAGUGCAGUGCAUCGCUGUCUCUGCAGCGCUUUGAGAUCUGCAGAUAUAAGUGGCUCCUGAAGCUUUGAAUAGCAUUGAACUCCCUCUGCAAUGGAAUUCCAAAGCCAGGGGAAAUUAUUCACAACUGUUAAGAAAAAGCAGUGUUGGUGCACUGGUUAAAUCCAGCGUUACGCCUUCUAAUUAUUUAGUGGUGGCCCAACCUGCUAGAGCAGCUGGUGGCAAUGGGAUGGUUGUGCUCAGCUGGAGGGAGCGGGGCUGAGAUUUGGUGCCUGAUGAGAUCAAUGGGCCUUUGAUUUCAAUAGGCAUUGAAUCAGGCACUGCCAUAUCAAACAGGCUGAUCAGAUCAUAGCGCAGCUCUUCUGGCAUGGAUUCCCAUUGUUGUGUCAGGGCACGCAGUGCAAAUUGAGCGACCAGUGGGGUGAGCAGGCACACUGAACUGUCCCUAAUGAAAUGGGACGUCCUGCACCAGGACGGUGCAAAGUGGUUGUGUGUCUGUGAUGCUGUGUGGGGCACUUCCAGGCUGGGAUGUGUCCUCUCCUGCCCUGUUCCUGUGCGGGAGGGUGACUGGAGGAGCUGCUGAGGGAGAGAAAUUGAUGGGGUGAUGUUGAAUCCUUAAUCUUGUGUUUCAGGGCUUCUCCAGGCGUUCUGCAAGGAAAGAUGAUUAUUUUUUUCUUUGCAGCCUUCAGUGUAGCAAUCAGGCACCUGAAAUUGUUUCUGCCGUCUUCUAAACGGGGAGAUUGGCCACAGCAAGAGGCGUGUUGUGAAGGGAGGGGUGUGCUGGUGCUCCUCGGAGAUGCUGCAGCCCCAGGAUGCUGUGUGGGGGAUUGCUGCCCCAGCUCUGUUGGCAGGAGCCCUGUUCUGCACUGUGGGCCAUGGUCACUUUCCCAGCAUCCCUGGGGGACAUUGCCCUGCUCCUGAAGGAACACGAGAUAUUUGCAGCAUCCUUGCUCUCUCCUGCUCUUUACCUGGGGCUCAUUAGCUCUGCAGUUUGUGGUCCUUUCGGUUCACUUGGGAGAGCACCCAUGGCGAGGCGCAGUGCAUGUCUGCGGGGAUUGCAGUCACACUGGAGAUGCUCUGCUGGCCUUGUCUACCAGCUGGAUUUGAAGCCAUAAGCUCCCAUUCUGAAGCCUGUUUUGCUUUGUUUCCCUGUGGUUGGGGAAAAUGGCAGCAUCUGUGCACGAUGUCUAAGCAAAGUGCACCCAGCCUGCCCCACCGCCGCGCUCUGUGGCUGCAGGAAUGUUAUCUCUGAUGUCUCCACCUGCCCCCAUAAACUUGGCUGGAAGUGGGUCAGUAGGUUUAGAAGUUCUACAGAGAUAUGUAUCAGCCUCAUACCUUAAAAGAAGUGAAGUCAAAUCCAAAGCAACAAUGAAAACUUGGAGAGGAAUGGAGAGAAGAGGCAGUGGAUUAGCAGAUAGAGAAAUCCCCGUGGGCCCUAUCGAGUGUUCUGCCAGUGUUAAGUGCUGAGUAAAAUAUAGUGCUGGAGAGAUCAGAUCGCUGGGUAUUCCCUCUGGACGGGGAGAUCCUGGGUUGAAUACUUCUUUGGUGAAUCAUCUACUGGAGCUAUCAGCACAGGGAUCUGGCACGGGAUUCUCGCAGCUGGAUGUGGCAUUGUUUGCAGGCUGAAACCACUUGGAGAAGGCAUGCAAAUGGUACCAUGCAGCUCUCUGCUGCUAAAGCUCUGGAUGCUUGAAUAUGACAUCUGGGACACCCCAAGCACUCAGAGCUGGGGCUGACAGCACGGAGGGCAACCAGAGGGUUUCUGCUUCUCUCUACAGCAGAACAAGGGGGAGAACAUGGGCAAUUUUGCCCAUAAAACCUGCUUCACCAAAGCAUCACCUGAGCUUGCAAAGCCCAUCACAGGGCUCUUCCAGGACUUGAGCUGCUAGAUCCUCCUCUGUGAGCAGAUCCAUUAGUAAUUGGCAGACUAAAAGAUACAGGAGAUCAAGACAAGGGGAAGAAAACCAAUUGCUAAGUGACCCAAAUGGAAGAUGCACAUGUGGCACAGGGAAGUGUUGGGCAAACAAGAGGAGAAAUCCUGCAAGAAAAGAUUCCAAAGGAGAAAGUCCAGUUAGGUUUUUGCUUGUUUUUUUUUUUCUUGUCAUCCUUUGAAGAGAUACUUACAAAGUGGGGAGCAGAUACUGAGGGAGUGCAAGGAGAGGUGGGACAGUGAAGGCUGUGUGUGUGACCCUCUCUGUGUUGUGCGAUAAGUUGUGCUCCAUGAAGUCUGGCCCAGGCAGAGGAAUGUGCUCCCUUUUUUGGAGCUGCUUGUCAGCUGUAGUUGGACCUGGGGACAGCUUGGCUGCGUCCUUCAUUUGGGAUCUAGGAGCAGCUGACAAUCUGCGUGGAUAGCACGAGAGCUGCUAAUGUUGCGUCUGAAAAGCUGCAGAGUUGCUGGGAGGGGGAAUGGGUUUAAAGUUGUAUUUCCUCCAAUAAAUCAGUGCAGCCUGGGCCUCCCCACCCCCAUAGGCGCCUGUGUGCAUGUGUUGGAGAGAGAAUCCAAAAAAACCCUGAGGACUCUGCAUUACUGCUCUCUGCUCAGGGCUGCCCAGCCUCACACCGGGGCAAGCGUUGCCUAAACACCAAUAACGUUGUCUACAGCAGGAAGCAGAGCAGGGCUCAUCCACACCAGGCUGCUCUGCUACUUCUGUGCUCCGAGUACAAACAGCAAGCUGUUCCUGCGCGUGGGCUCCCGGCGCUGCCAGCAAAGCUAUUCUCAUGCAGGAGAGAAAAACGAGCUGUGCAAAAAGCAGGCAUGUCUCGUAUUGCUAAGCAUCGCUCACCAGGUCAAGUGCUACACUGCCGCACGGGGCUGGUGUGGGUGGGAUGUGGUGGAUGUGGCAACCCCAGCGCUGCCUGUGGGGUUGGCAGGGAAUUACCCCAACUGCUAUAGCUAAAUCAUAGGAUCACAGAAUCAUUUCAGUGGGAAGGGACCCUUAAAGGCCAUCUGGUCCAAUUCCCUGCAGUGAACAGAGGCACCCACAGCUCCACCAGGUGCUCAGAGCCCUGUCCAGCUCUGACCUCGGGUGUCUGCAGAGACGGGGCACCCAUCACCUCUCUAGGCAAUUAAUCAGAGUGGCUCUGCUGGGAUGUUGCAGUGAUGGCAGCAGGAACAAAAUGGGUCUCAAUGAUGCGAUACAAGAAAGGACACAGGCCCUUAUGGCUACCAUGCUGAUAUUGGAAGCGAUGUCCCACUGCUGCUCCCAAGGCGUUUUCAGCCCUUCUGGCCCAGCAAUGACAGUGACUUGUAAAACUUAGGUUGCUUUUUGGGCUUCUUUGUUCUCUAACUCUUUUCUUGGGUGGUGUUUGAGGAAGGAACACCACCCAAGGUGGUGCUGAGGAUGCUGCAUGAGGAAGGGCAUUGUUUCAACCCUUGCAUUUUUCAGGGGGAAACUCUUAGCACUUUCAAAAGUAGCACUGAUGUCGAUCUGUUGGAAAAUUUCAGCUGCGGGUGGAGGCUGCUGUAUGUCAAGCAGAGCCUGGGCAGGGGAUGAUGGAGCAGCUCGGCACCAUAUCUCAAGGGCUCUGAUUUUUGGCACAGCCAAGCUGGUGGGAUGCUGAGCUGUGGGAGGGCUGGCCCAUCUCUGAGUGUUCCCUGGGUGCCGCUAUCUCCUGGCGAUCUGCGAUCCACUCAAGUGUGUCUGCCUGGAUGCCAGCCUGAACUGGGACCUGUUCCUGGUGGCUUGUGAGGUUUGUGCAUAUCCUGCAAUCUCUGGCUCUUUUUUGGAGCUGGGAGUGAUUGUGUUUGCUCCUCAGUUCAGCAAGUCAAAAGGAGCCUGCUGGGGGAGAGGGGAGAUUUUAAGCCCUAUCUCUGGAGUGAGAGAGAAGGGCUCGAUUCCCCGGUGCCUCAUUGGAGGGGAUCCCAACCAGCUCUGCCUUGCUGGGGCAGCUCCCUCCUCUCUUUUCCCUCCUGAUCAGAGGCUGUAGGGCCCUCAGUCCCCCCGUGCCCUGCCGGAUGUUGGGGAGCCAGACAGGACAGCCCAGCAGCUCCCAGCCCCAAACAAUGGGGCCAUUGAGGGCUGGAGCUGGGGGCUCGGCUGACUGUGGGCUGCGGAUGGGAAGGCCAGCUGAGCUGUGCUUGUUCCACUCCAGCAGAGUCAGAGCCCAAAAUAGGAGUGGUGCGGCCAUUUGGAGGCUGAGCCUCUUUAUCCAGAGGUCGCAGCUUGUUUGCGUGUGGGGUUUGCGUGGAGUAUUUAUGUCUUGGAGUGGGGCUGGGGGGAGGAAAUGAAAGAGGAGGGGCUGGCAGUUGUGCAGAGUUAUUUUUGUUGUUUUUUUUUGUUUUGUUUUGUUUUCUGUGCUAAAAUGGUGCAGAAGUAUUGGUAUUUUUAUCCCCCCACCUUCCUGUAGGUCCAUACACUUCCCUGCAGACUGGGAACCCCAGUGAGGCCAGCGCUGUGACUCAGUGCUGGAGUGCUGAGCAGGUGAAGGGGACAAGCAAUGCGCCCAAUAACUGGUGGAGCUGCUAAGCUGUCCCCACUGUACCCAUUUUCUAUUUCCCUGUGCCACCCUGGUUCCUAAUGUCAGGCUCCUCUGUGUCUGUGGGCUGUGCCCGCAGGUAGUGUUUCCCCUUUCUCCUGUGUUGAGUCCCCUCCGAUCCGCUUUCCUGGCACAGCAGUGGGUGCUGUCUGGCUCUUGCAGACACCAAGCAUCUGCUGUGCCCAGUGCAUCUGAAAAUCACACCUCUUUUGUAUCUGUGUGUGGAUUUAAGGGCUCAGUGUGAGGUGUCUGAAGAGGUGGUCUCGGUUGGAGCCUGUUCUGAAUGGUGCUGCCUGAAUGGGGCUGUGUCCGCGUCGGGAGAUGUGCAGAAUUAAUGCAAGGUUUGGAUCAGCUCAUUAACUGCCUGUGCCGGUCCAAAUCUUGCCCUUGGAGGUAUGUGUGUUGCUGCCAGUGCCAUCAACAUAAAGACUCUCGCCAGCACAGCCGGGGAUGGGAUUUGGCCUGUUUAUAUUCAUGGUGCAAAAAGAGCCGAAGGAUUAAUGACUGAUUACUUCUCGGGCCAGCAGGAGCCUCGGGUACCCAUCUCGCGUGCAGCUAAAGCGCAGGGCAGAGCAAGACAAAGCUUUGCAACAGAAUCCUCCCAAUUACCUCACCGCUCUCCCCGCGCGCUGUAAAAUGCACUGUCAGCUCCGCCAGCCAGCGCUCAGCCUGCAGCCAAACACCUCCUGCAUUGCUGCAUCUCCCUCCGCCCCGUGCUGUCCCCAAUUUGGGGGUGGUUUGGUGGAGCCCUGCCUGCUCCCUACCUGCCCCUUGUGUGCGUCUGAGCAUCCUUUCAUGCCCCCCCAGCGGAGCCUGCGCGUUGGAUGCAGUUUCCAUGGUUACUGCAGCUCCUGGGCUCUGGGAAGAGCAGUUGGAUGCUGGAGCUGGCAGGACCGGCAUCUCCCUCCGGAUCAGCCAGAAACUUGACAGGGAUCGGUGUGUGGCAGAGCAGGACAAAGAGAGGAGGGGAGAGGGAACGCGACGAGAAAAACUCGGCUUGUGCUGGUUACCAGGGUUGCCCCCAACAGGUUAUGCUCUGAACAGGUUUCAAAAAGGAAUAAAAAGGGUGGGGAGAAAAAAAAAAAAUAGAUGAGAAAACUGCAGUUCUGGCGCUCACAUGAAGGUGACAUUUGUUGUAGCAUCUCCAGCCGUCGAAACAGGGAUCUGAACACAAGGAAGUUGUAACUGCUGCCAGGCUGACUAUUUCUACCCACAUUUUUCUUUUCCCCAGCCCUUUUUUCCUCUUGUUUCAUUCUUUUGGUACUUUUUAUUCUGAUAUUUCCCUCCCUACACACACACAGGUUUCCUCUUUGCUCCUGCAUAUCCCUCUUUUGUUGGUUAGGUUAAAAGUUGGAGGCAUGUUCAGUCCUCACCACAUGCAGGUGCCAGCCGGGGCACCAAAAGUGCCAGCUGGGAAUGGAUGUGACUUUUUUGGGGAUAGUUUUUGCCCAACAGAGCCUUCUCCUGCUGAUGGACGCAAGCACCAUCUGAGCACAGCGUGUGUAGGUGCAAACCCAGCCUGGUGUAUUCAUCUGCAGUUGGGACUUGCCAUCCUCUCAUCUGCUCUGCCUCAAAUUCAGGCAGAUGAAAGCCCGACAAGAAAGGGCAGACACGGCUUCCCCUCAACAAGUCGAUGCAGGGAAAUGUCAUUGGGCUCCUUUUGGUGUCACUUUGCUGUUCCCAAGCAGUUUCCUGGAAAGACAGCAGGAAGUCAAACAUGUACUGCAUGGAACUGGGAAACAGCUGUGAGAUGGUGGCAGCAGAGCUGUGAUCUCACAUGGGGAUCUGCCUUCGUACUGCCCACCUGCCAAUAGAGCCCAGCCUUCUCAGGAAAGCAAAAUGGAGUAAAAACUCAUCUCAGAAAAGACUCUGCACAGUGGUUUACUCUGGUGGGACAUGGACAUGGGAUGGCAAGCUCAGAGAUUGAAAGGAGAUAUUUUUUCCUGUACACAAAGACUUACAAAGAAAAAUCCUGCCCUCCUGUAUAGGACAAAGCCUUCUGAAAUAACCUGAAUACCAGAAAUUUCCAGUAAUGCUCAACCUUUCUGAGCCCUGUUCUGCAACAAUGAUGAUGCCUUUGUGUGGGCUGAGGGGUCCCAAGGUCCAGCCCCUUGACUUGAUGUGGGAUUGAUGCAUUGCUCACUCUGCCUGUCUGCGUUGAGAAACUGCCCCUGUGGGGCAGACCUGCAUGUCCUGAGGUCCUGCAGUUCCCCAAAACAGCUCUCGUUUUCAUAUUGCCAACACAGCCAGGACCAUGAGUGUCCUGUCCAGUUUUCCCCACUGCUGUAGGGGAGGAGAGGACCAGCAGCCCAGUGCCGACUGGGAUGUGCAACAAGCCAAGUGUUUGUUUUGCUGCUCUGUGCGCAGCAGCGUGGCUAAAUGUGGAGGCUGGUUUGAAGGCACGCUCAUUUUACUCUCCAGCCAAUGUCUGAUUCCAGACAUGCCUGUUUCACAGAGUUUACUUGCACAUUUGCAGAGCAACAGUUUUGCAAGUGGAAUUCUGCAGGCAGCCUGGUGGGGCCAAUGCUGGCUGCUGCCAUUGGGUGAGAGAACGAGUGAGAGAACAUCAGAUGGAGUCAGGGAAUGUCUGAGACCAAUACUGGGAAGAAGUAGGAGGAGAGGGAGGUUUUAAAGUCUUGGUCAAGUUGCCGGGAGUUGUUUCCCGUGCUGGUUAUGAAUUUCUCUUGUAGCUUGGCUGUGUCUUGUUGCAAGGAACACAGCUCCCAUUGACUCCAGCAGGACCAGAGCUGGACCAGAGGUGCCUUUGUUGCAAGAGAAGCUGCAAGAAAAGAUUCAGCUUUAUCUCUUAAUGAGCCUAUUCAUUCUCUCACCUGUUAAUGGGUCAAAUUUUGAAGCUCUGACUCAGUCUGAACUUUCAGUGGCUUUUGCACCUGGUUAUUUAAAUAUCUGUCUGCACGGGAGGUGAACACCAAGCGGCAUCCCUAGCUGCAGCUCCUACCAAGUUACCUUCCCCUUUCCCCCCUCCAGCUGUUUACUGUUUCCCUCCCACCUCCACCCUGACUCAGAAGAAUGGGAGACAAAUGCUCCCACCUCACCCGCUCAGUACAAUGCUUGGCAGCCGCUGGGGAAAAAGAGUUUGGGUGAAGCUGCCAGGCUUUGCCCGGGAGCCAUGAAGGAGAGCACGAGAGCUGUUCCACCAACGCGGUCGCAGGCAGCAGGAGCCUCCGGCACGAGGGAGCAGACAAGCCAGCUGCUGGGGGUGCUGAUAACAUCUGGACCCACCCGACGCGAGCGCAUCUCCCCAUGCUGUAAGUGCAGGGUUGGAACCUUUGGGUGCUGAGCCGCCUCUGCUCCCACCGAGUUCAGCAGGAGGUCAGGGCACACAGCAGAGGGGUCGUGCAAGCCGUGGGUGCUGGGGCUGAGUCUGAGGCGGCGCUGGGACUGCUGCCUUCUGGGCUGGGUGAGUCCUUCUUUGGUGGAUCCUACCAAGUUUGCAGAUAGAACUGGUGUGAAGGCUGUUCCAGGGUGAGAGGGAGACCUCUGGAACCAGUUGCAGUGCUCUUCCUGGGGUAAGGGCCCAAAGCGGCCUUUAAAGAAGCAUAGCUGUAAAAGCACAGGAGUCCCAGGGGAGCUGGGUCCCCAUCUCCCUCUGCUGGGUGGUGGGGGCUGCAAUCAAAGCACUCCCAUGGCCCCUGCUGCAGCCACAGCACAGCGCCAGCUUGCUCUUCCCUCCUUCCCAUCUCUCCUUCUUCCACCCGUGGCCCCUCACAUCCUCCCUGCUUCAAUCCAGCUUUAAAAUCUCAAGGCAAAUCCCACUAAAUCAGGAGAUUUCGCCCGGCUGCUUCCCUGCCCUCUCUGCUCUCCCGCUCCCUCCGCCGCUUCUGGCCUGCUGGGUUUUGUGUUUCAGUUGUUAUAAAUAAAGCUCCAGGCACUGAUUUGGGUAUACAAUGACACCUUGUGUUAUUAGACAGCACAGGACAGACUUUGCAAGGGGAGCUGCUCUCCCGCCCUCGCUCUGCUCCGGCUGCCGGCGCUCCACGGGAGCUCAGCAGGUGCUUCUGUUCCCCGUCUUGCCCCAAAUCACAGCCCCCAGGAAAAAAAUAAAAGAGGAGAUCUGGGCCCCUGCUCUGGCUUGGCUGGGUUUAAAAACAGGUGGGUGGGAGGAAGCUGGAUGCUUAAAGAAGGGAGCGUGACUGAGGAUGAUGUGGGGAAGGGGAUAGGAAUGUAGGAAUGUGCCCUCAAAAAAGGAGCUGGGAAUGUGUGCAGGGGGGAAAGCAGGGAUGGAAUUAUCAUUUGUGCCCUCAGCCCUGCUUUGGGGUGACCACCCUGCCCCUCUGUCCUGUGCAUAGAACAGGUGGGGUCUGAGCAUCCUUUCUCCUCACACUCAUCCCUGCACUGCACCGUGGCCCCUUGGGAAGGGCUUUGUCCCACAUGUGCCACCUCCUGUCACCUCUCCAUCCCCUCAGGACCAGCACUGCUUGGAGAGGGGUAAGCUGACGUGCUGAGCCCCAUGUGCCCAUUUUUGGGUUCUCCCUCUGCGUUUUCUCUCCUUAUGCCAGAAAAGCAAAUGCUGUGAAUUUUUGCUUGAGCACUCAGUGCAGAUGUCCCACAGCUCCAAAAUGCACUCCCUCCGCCCGUCCCGCUUGUCCCAUUGCUGCUCCCACAGGACCCCACCCCCCUUGAGAGGCCCAAGGAAGCUGUAAUGCUGAGCUGUGGGGAUGGGAGCCUCCAGGAGCUCCUUCUGCAUUUUGCUGCUCGUCUUCACUCUGUGGGGAACCAGAACGGGUGCUGGGUGCCCAGGUUGGGGAGUCUUUGAGGCAGCGAUUUAAAGCAAGGAGAGGAAUUACUGUCCUAUUUCUUCAUGCCAGAAUGAGGAACUGGAAACAGGCUGAAGGGGAAAGGAGCUGGAUGGAUGUCCCAGAGAACUUAAAGGCUCAGAGGAAGACUGGCCAGGCUUAGGUUACUGUUCCUCUGCCCCUUCCCUGGUACCUCUGACACCAAUUAGGAGCUGGGCUUAUUAGCUGUUCUCCUGCACCAAUCUCCAAACACCACCGAGCAGCACCUGAGCCUGGUGCAGGAUGCAGAGUGUCUCAGGAUGCUGCAACCAAGAGAGAGGUGAGCCUGCACCUGGCGAUGGGGAGCCCAGCCGCAGCCAGAUGUGAGCUCCUUCCCCAUCCUCCCCCCUUCCUCUUGCCCUAGCCUCAGGCCAAACAGGGAAAAUCCUUCAGCAGAACCCCAGCUGGGGCUGCUUGCUGCCUUUCCAUAGCAACAGUCCAUCAGGGGGUCGGAGUCAGCAGUGAAAAAUGCUUUCUCGCCUUGCCUGCCGGUCGCUAUUUUGAUUGCAUUCCUGGGGAGCUGGGCUGCAGAUGUGGUCUCCUUAUCUUGGGAAGGUCUGAGUCAGUUUUUCCCUGUGUGAUGGAGCAGGCAGCUGAGGUCUGGAGGGAGGAAUAAAUAUCUUCAAAGGCAUGCUGGGGGUGUUGUUUGGUGGGGAAAAAGUGGUGGUACCAGUCUCCAUCCUAUACUCAUGGUGCCCACAUGGCACAGCACGCAUGGAGGAGAUGAAGGAGAUGUCCCUGCAAAGCAACGUUCAGACAGCCCUGGUGUCUUGGCCAAAGGAAAAGAAGACCAGGACUGCUGCUCCUUGGAUGACCUGAGGAACAUUCCCACAAGAGAGGCACCUUACAUUCACCCCACCAAUGCAUGUCCAGGCUGUGUGAUGCUCCUCAACGCACCAGCAGAUGUGGCAGCUCAAACGCUGGUUGUCUCCUGCUCAGCCUGUCUGUUCUUGAAGAAGUGGGAGCUGCAUGGAACAGCAGCGGUGAAUCUCUUCCUCAAGCCCAAGCAAAUAAGAAGCAAUUGUAAUGUUAGCUGCUGUCUCCAGAUCAAAAGUGCUAAAACAACACUUUGAGAACUGAGAAGGGCACGGUCUGAGCCUCCCCUCAACCCCACACCUCCCAGCACUGCCGUUAAAUUUGUGCUGAAAAAAGGACCAGCAAAUAUCAGGUUUGCCACGCGGAUGCACUGACAGGGUUGGGGCACUUGUGGCAGGGACAGCCCAGAGUGACAGCCCCAGAAGCGCCCAGCAAGGGCAGGAGUGCAAAACCCCACGGUAAAUGGAAGGAGAAGGCGUUGCUUUGCUGCUGAGAGAGAAUUUAGGUGGCAGGGAUGAAACAGAGAAGCGCUGUGCAGGGAGCGGUGCUGGGGCUGGAAGGCCGUGGGAGGGAGGUAACAGGAUGGCCCCGGGUACCGCUUCCUCGUGGCACCCCUCCAGCCGUCCCCGUCACCCCCUAGUCACAUCCUGCUUGCGCUGGCUCCUGCCUCAUCCUGCUGCCUGCAGUUUCUCAACCCCUUUCCCUCCUGCCAGCACUUUCUGGCUGCUGGGGUUGCUGCGGGGCAGCGGGGCUGGAGGCAGCUCUUGGAGCACCGGGAGAUUUAGGAUCGACGUGCUCCAUCCUCUCCUGUUUGACAGCAGAACUGCCAUUUAAGGGAGGGUUUGGAGGAGACAUCUUCCUCUUUCCAAAUCCUUCUUGCCGGCUUAGCCCCCAGCCCACAGACCCUGCAGCACGGAGCAUCCCGGCACCUACGGGGUCCUCGCCCUUCCCUGGUCUUCCCUGGGUCCUCGCUUUGUCCCCAGUGCCCUUUCCUCCUCUGCAGCCCCAUCUCCAGAGGGACCAUGCGCUGUGGGAAGGAUCACAUCCUGCUGCGGGACGCUCUGUGCCCUGGCAGGGUGCAGCUGGAGCUGGCACUGCUCUGCGCUAGGCUGAGCUGUCCUGGCCUCCAAGUGCUUCUGCAACAGCCAGGAGAUCUCAACGGGAGUUCUUAGUGGAGCAGGGAGAUGCUGCAGCACAGCAGCAAGCUGGAGCUAUGGGGAGGGAGGGACUCUGCCACGGACUUUCUGGGCUAACCUUGGUCAAGACAGCUUUCUCCCCGCAUGUUUGUUUUUUUUUUACCCAAACACAACGCUGCCUUUGCUAGCUGUGCUGGUGCAGAGGCUGAUUCCCAGCACCCCGGAGGAGGGCUGCUGGCUGCUGCCACAGCACUGCACUGCAGCAGCUCUGAACUCAGUGCACCGUGCUCGGGGUCUCAGCCCCAUUGCGGAGCUGCGGCCGCAGAGCUGGGACCGCUGGGACCCCCAUCCACAUCCUGCAGGUCCCCGCUUUGCUCCAUCACCCAGCGCUGAGGCCUGGGGCGACCGGCGUCGCUUUGGGGUUUUGGCACACGGGGAAUGCAAGUGGGUGGGGGAGGCACUUCCACGAUCCCCACCGUUAGGGAGCACAGCGCCCGGGGUGCUGCGUUUUGCCCCCAACAGAAGGCAGGGAACAUACGGAGGAGAUGGUUGCACCCGCCCGGGGCUCAGGGAUGGGGCUGCUGGGUGCUGGCGUGGUGCAUCCCUCCUUCCCCAUCCCUCUUCCCCACGCGCAGGGCAACGUGGCCACGCACGGAGCCAACCAGCAGCGAUGCGAGGAGGGUCGCAGCUCAGCGGGGCGGCUCUGGGCUCCCCGCUCUUCCCUCCAGACCACGCAACGGUUAAAUUCCUUUCCAGCUGAGCUGGCAAGCAGAGCCCGAGCAUAUUAGUCAGAUCCCUGUAGGGGGUGGGGAGGAGGAAGGAGCGAGCAGCGAGGAGGGGCCGCAGCCCAGCGCCGGGCUGAGCUAUUCUCCGGGGCGAGAGCGGGGAGGCAGCGCAGCAGGAGUUGCCGCUUCCCAGAAACUUGAUUAUUUUUAACCCAGGAAGAAAAAAAUAAAAUAAAAUAAAAAGGAAGGAAGGAAAGCGGGCAGAAUUUAAAAAAAAAAAAAAAGAGUGGGGGUAAAUCUAAAGGAAUUGGAAAACAUGAGGUUGGCGUCAGCACACAGCUUUGCAGAGGGGAGAGAAGGGGCACAGAGGUUCAGGCUGCCCUGGGAUGGGGAUGGAGUACGGAGCCCCACUGGAGCUGCCCCUGCUGAGCCCAGCAGAGCUGCCCUGUGAAGGAGAAAGCAAGGUCUUCUUUCUCACACUGCUUAACCACGUGUAGAUGGGAGCCUGGGCAAAGUGCAGAGACAUCUCGGUGUUGUUCCCACUGCAUGACACGGUUGUGUUGGGUCUGAGGUGCAGAGCCUUGGAGCAGUUGUUCCAAAGCCCCGCAGCUGGAAGAGCACUGGGGAUCUGCUGCCCCAGUCAGGAGCUGCACUGCGGGCACAGGCACUGCAGUGUGGAUGGGACACGGUGCACAAAGUGCCCUGUGAAGGUCAAACCUUUUCUGACCCAAACCCUCCCCAUGUAUUUGUAUGACUGCAGCGCCUGCACUUGGUUGGAAACUCAAUGUCUUCAAUGGCUGUAGCACCAGUCCAAAGCAUUACAAACCAUGGGCCCUUCCAAGAAAUAUCUGCAGUCCCCCACUGUGCUGCCCAGGGUGGUACUGGGACUCCUGAGCUGCUGUUCUCAGUUCUAAACUGAGCUCCAUGGGGAACACCACGUGAGGAAAUGUCCUGUAUCCACAGACACAGUGUGGAAACAGGGCCUCCCUGAGGAGGUUCUUCCAUGUUGGACCUCUGUGGGACUUCUGCUGUCACCAGCUCUGCUCUGCUGUGCCCAGAUCCUGGAUGGGGCUGGUGGUGUCCACAUGAUGGCAUCAGAACCAUCAUCGCAAUGGAGAAGAAGCCCUUAGUUUUGCAGACACAGCCAGGCCAGGUCAGAAAGAGGAUCCCGUUCCCCAAAGGCAAAGAAGUGACAAUGGCAAUCAGUUCAGCUGAACAGAGAGAGUUUGGAACAGGCAG